AAUGAACGUUGGCGGCGUGGAUUAGGCAUGCAAGUCGAAUGCGAACGUAGCAAUACUAGUAGCAUGGCGAAAGGGAUAGUAAUGCAUGAGCAAUCUACCCUCGACUCUGGGAUAUGCGGUUGAAAGACCGAGUAAUACUAGACGUUGUUUUCGGAGGACAUCCUUUGAUUUCAAAAGGUCCGCCGGUCGAGGAGGAGCUCAUGUCCUAUCAGCUAGUUGGCGGGGUAACGGCCCACCAAGGCAAGGACGGGUAGCGGGUGUGAGAGCACGACCCGCAUCACUGGCACUGAGACACUGGCCAGACUCCUACGGGAGGCUGCAGUCGAGAAUCUUCGGCAAUGGACGAAAGUCUGACCGAGCGACGCCGCGUGGAGGAUGAAGGCCUUCGGGUUGUAAACUCCUGUUGGGAGGGAACAAAUUUUGAGUGACCUCCUGAGGAAGCACGGGCUAAGUUCGUGCCAGCAGCCGCCG
rnacentral:rRNA from 1 species